GAUGUCAAGAAGAAACAGCCGUUUCUCACCUUACAGCUAUUAAUGCUAGUUUGGUCAUGAAUUUUAUUACAUUUGAUUUUGGUAAUAGAGGACGGCUUAAAACCGUCCUUUUUUAUUUAU
rfam:Clostridium perfringens str. 13 DNA, complete genome.